GUAGGAUAAAGCAAAAAUCGUAAUUCUCAUAAUCAUUAAUACCGGAUCUGUCUGUCUGUUCUUGUCUUGUAUUGUGCUGACUUGAGAUUUUUUAAGACUAGAUUUAAAUAUAGUGACAGUCAUUAGUGCAGUAAUAUACGUUAAAUACUAGUACUGCUCAAGUCGACACUAGGGACCAUAUUGACCUUGUUUUACGGUAUUUAUGAUUCUUUCAUUAUUGAAGACCCUCCAGC
rnacentral:lncRNA from 1 species